rnacentral:rRNA from 1 species
GAUGAACGCUGGCGGCGUGCCUAAUACAUGCAAGUCGAGCGAACGGACGAGAAGCUUGCUUCUCUGAUGUUAGCGGCGGACGGGUGAGUAACACGUGGAUAACCUACCUAUAAGACUGGGAUAACUUCGGGAAACCGGAGCUAAUACCGGAUAAUAUUUUGAACCGCAUGGUUCAAAAGUGAAAGACGGUCUUGCUGUCACUUAUAGAUGGAUCCGCGCUGCAUUAGCUAGUUGGUAAGGUAACGGCUUACCAAGGCAACGAUGCAUAGCCGACCUGAGAGGGUGAUCGGCCACACUGGAACUGAGACACGGUCCAGACUCCUACGGGAGGCAGCAGUAGGGAAUCUUCCGCAAUGGGCGAAAGCCUGACGGAGCAACGCCGCGUGAGUGAGGAAGGUCUUCGGAUCGUAAAACUCUGUUAUUAGGGAAGAACAUAUGUGUAAGUAACUGUGCACAUCUUGACGGUACCUAAGCAGAAAGCCACGGCUAACUACGU